AAAAUUCAGAUUCUCCCCCUCAACAUAUGCAUUCUACUUUGUUUUGAUUCUUUGAAUUUUCUUUUAAUGCUUUGAAGUUUUUGAACUGAAAUUUUGGUUUUUAGAGGGAAAAUCUGUCAAUUUGUUCUUGAGUAGGAUUUAGCUAAUCUCCGAAUAUCCCUUGAAUAGAUUCUGGAGAUUACUCCAUUAGGAGCCCCAAAAGAGAGAUAAUGAGCCUCGGGGUACCAAAUCCACUUAGAACAAAUUUGUGUGUUUUAAGAGUUUAUCUUUUUAUUGAUUUCCAUUGAUUCCUUUUACAUAUUUUAUACAUAUUU
rnacentral:lncRNA from 1 species